CUGUUGAUGGCAUUGUGUUCAGCACGGCUGAGGUUAUGGGGUGACCGUAGGAGCUGAGAGUAUGACCCCAAAUUCAUGUGACUGGGAACGUCUGCAGCAGCAUCAAACCAGCUGGAGUCAACUCAUAGAGAGGACCUCGGGUUCCAUCAGGGAUGAGUAUGGCACAGUGUGUUUCUAAGGACUCUAGCCUGAAGGGGAACUGAGGCAGAGGGGGGAUGAAGUGACUUGCCUAGAGUCACAGAGGAAGUCCACGGCCGAGACAGGAACUGAGCCCAGGUCUCCUCGCCCCCUGUAGAUUUCAACAGGUCUGGAGUUCUCUUCACCGCAAUCCUGAGAGGGGCUGAGAACUCAGCUUCUACUGAUUUCAGUGAGUGAGAAGGAGGAUGAUUCACAUGGGGUCUUAGCAUCCCACAGCUUCCAAGCAAGCCAACAUCAAACGAUGGUCAAUGUAAUGAAGUUAUUAAUGAGUCUGAUCUUAAUGAAUACGAGUGAAGAUCCUAAUUUCUUGGAGCAC